GUAGAGUUUUUUUCUCUCUCAUUCCUGGAAUAGGGUCAGACUGAGCCCUGAGGAGAAACACCAGAGAAUAGGACUACAUUGU
rnacentral:pre_miRNA from 15 species